UACAGAGGGGGCAAGCGUUGUUCGGAAUUACUGGGCGUAAAGGGCGCGUAGGCGGCCCGCUAAGUCGAACGUGAAAUCCCCGGGCUCAACCCGGGAACUGCGUCCGAUACUGGUGGGCUCGAAUCCGGGAGAGGGAUGCGGAAUUCCAGGUGUAGCGGUGAAAUGCGUAGAUAUCGGAAGGAACAUCAGUGGCGAAAGCGACUUCCUGGACCAGUACCGACGUUCAGGCACGAAAGCGUGGGGAGCAAACAGG
rnacentral:rRNA from 1 species